AUACGGAGGAUCCGAGCGUUAUCCGGAUUUAUUGGGUUUAAAGGGUGCGCAGGCGGCCAUUUAAGUCAGCGGUUAAAUCGCGGGGCUCAACCCCAUUCUGCCGUUGAUACUGGGUGGCUUGAUUGCGGUCGAGGUUGGCGGAAUUCGUUGUGUAGCGGUGAAAUGCAUAGAUAUGACGAAGAACAACGAUUGCGUAGGCAACUGACCAGACCGUAAAUGACGCUCAUGCACGAAAGUGCGGGGAACAAACAGGAAUAGAUACCCUGGUAGUCCUCACAGUAAACGAUGAAUACUUGGUUUCGGCGAUAUAAUGUCGGAGGCAAAGCGAAAGCGAUAAGUAUUCCACCUGGGGAGUACGCCGGCAACGGUGAAACUCAAAUGAAUUGACGGGG
rnacentral:rRNA from 1 species